CACAGGAUCUUUGGCUGAAGGCACCUGGCUAGCUGUGAUCCCGGUGUUUGGUCCACCAAGGCCGGCACCACAGCUGCAACCUGUGCCACAGCAGUGACACCUGAUCCUUAACGGCAGCUGUGGUUAAGGAGGUCAGGGUCACUGAAUGGGAAGCAAGAAUGUGAGAUGAGAGAUUUUUUUUUCCCCCUGUUUUUAUUCUCCAGGCCUUCCUCCCAUGGAAGAAACUCUUCAGUCACUUCUCAAUCUGAAGAAUAUCAGACCCAAACAAGGAAGAAAUUGGUCUUUAAAAGUAGUUCAUCACGAGUUCCCUGGUGGCCCAGUGGGUUAAGGAUCAGGUGUUGCUACAGUGGCACAGGUUGCAGCUGUGGUGCAGGUUCAAUCCCUGGCCCUGGAACUUCUGCAUUGGAGGGGGGGGGCAUGGCCAAGUCAAUACAUACAUAACCGUGUUGGUGUUGGUCGUGGCCCCUCCCGCUCCACAGGAGGGCUGCGAUGUAAGCCUAGCCCUAUUCUCUUGUGGCCCCCUGGAAGCUGCAAGCCUGGCCAUUGAUCAGAAAAGCAUUCUUCUUCCAGACAUGGGGGUGAAAAUUGUAGGAGAGCCACUGAGUAGAAACCCAGACCCUCAUUUAAGUGAACUGUGAUUGGUCAUUGCAGACCAGCCUAAGGGCUGUUAACAAACAGUAAUUAGCUCGGCCGCUUAACCGGGUAAGUGUUCAUUUUUUCCCUUGCACAAAAUCCACUGCAGACGAUCCUGGGCAGCUGGCUGUCCUCCAAGUAGGGGCCAGGGAUCCAAACUCCUCAUCCGCAGACUUGGACGGAAUCUCGGACAUCCAUGCUUCUCAAAUGUCCGUGUGCAAAACAAUCUCCUGGCGGGUGGUCCUCCACCAGAGAUUCUAAUUCAGCAGGUGUGAGGUGGGGCCAUGUACGUGCAUUUUGAACAAGCUCCCAGGUGAUGCUGCUGCUGCUGCCUCUCCAGAUCCGCUCUGCCCAGACAUCUGCAUCCAGUUGGAAGGCUAGGGGAUAAAAGCGCUUCGGGGCUGCAGAAGAUGUGUCCAGGACACCCUCAUCUUCAGGCAUGCAUUUAAUGAGUCAUCAAGCCUGUCGAUUUCACCUUUGAGAGACGGGAGGUCUUGAGUCUCCCAUUUAUUCUUCCAUUGCCUUGUGUUCAGUCCUUCUUCCACAAGCCAGCCAAGAGCACCUUGUUGAAAUGCAAACAUCCUCUUGAACCUUUAGAUCUUUCUUAGGUCCUGCCAGCUAUGUUGGCAUUAAUGAUAAAGUGAAAGGCAGAUUCCUUAGCGUGGUCUGGAAGCCUACACCUCUGGUUCCAAUAGCCAUAUCCUCAUCCAUAUCCUUCUCUCUCGGUGCUAAUACUUCAUCUAAACCUAUCCCCUGAUCUCUGCUAAUGCAUGCCACCUUUGCCCUGUUUCUCUUCCAUGGGAAACAUGCUUGCCUGGUAGAACCUUAAUCAUCUUCUAAAUCCAAAGCAAUCAGAGUGGCUGGUGUAUUUUUAAAAUAAUGUGCAGCGCAGCGGAAGAUCAGUGAAAACAUGGCACCCAGACAUCCUGCUGGAAAAUGAUGAAUGUUUUCAUUCUUAAGGGGAGGGGAAAAGGUUGAUAAUAUCACAUGUCUCGCAGGGGUGCGGGAAACUGGUACUUCUCUUUGCCCCUGGUGGGGAGAGACGUGUGUGGCUAGCUCCUCGGAGUGUGGGCGAAUGAGGGCAAUUACUGCAGAGUUAAUGACGCAACAGACGCAUAAUUCUGUCUCUCUCCCAUCGAACGCAGCAUGAGGAACAAGAAGACUGGAGCAGGAUGUUUCGUGUCAUCACUGGUUAUAACAUGAAAAAUCAAAAAUUACAUAAAUACCCAUCCACAGGAGAAGAGCUCAACCAAUUAUGAACCUACCGCCCAUGUGAGAAGACCAGCUGGUUCUCUGAGCACUGACUUGGAGAGCUCUACAGGCACAGUGGCCAGAAAUAAAAUGCAAGUAGAACGUGAUCUGUGCAGACUGACACAAUUUAUGUAAGCACACACACACGUAUGGACACACCAUUAUGAUUCCCAGACCAACAGACUCAAAGAUUCACACCUAACUAGAAUAUCCAAGGUGGGGCCCAGGGACAGACGUGGGGUGGUCCUAGGGGAUUUUAGCCUUAUCUCUAAACUCUUAAUUUUUUACGGGGGCUGUUUUAUGCGUAUGAUCUGAAAAACUAAAAUUUAAUAACUUUCCCAAAAGCUCAAAUGUGUGUGAACCUUUUUCUAAGGUUCCCUGGCAGAACCCACUCCUCUGGCCUCUGCACACUUUUGAAUUAUGUGAAUGUUCUGUCUCGCAAUUAUCUGUCUACUGGUGUGUCUCCCUCACUUAACGAUGUGCUCCCUGAGGGCUGAGGCAUUGCGUGCCCACCUCUGUCACAUUGUGUUUAACUAGGUGCUUGGUUCACAGCAGAUGCUCAGCACAAGUGACUCACCCGGCGGGCGUAGGUGGGGGUCCUACCAGGAACCUCUGGGUGCGUGUGACUGCAUCAUGAACCCCUGGGGUUACGGCGCUCUCCAUGGAAGCAUCCAGCUCAGCCUGUGCAGCGAGCUGGCACAAAGCAGGCUACUCCAUGAACACCUGUAGUGCCAAGGCUGUCUUUCAGCCUGUUUGGACCAACAUAGCUAUUCAGCUGUUAAAAAUACCAAACUACUUCUGCGUAAGCGAAGUAUCCCCCGCCAUCCCUUGACGUGGCUGUCCUAGUUCUCUCUACAAUCCAGCAACUAAAGGGUUAAGGCCUGACCUGGCAGGAGUAUGCAGAACCUGGUGUCACACAGUGCGAGGGUCAUCCCUCACUGAUGCUAACAGGCACCGGUAAAGAGUCCUUCCUGUCAAGGCAUUCUCCCAGGAGCCUCAGGAUGCUGCCCCUCUCCACCGGAGACUGAGGCCCGGAUGAUGCUCUGGACCAAGGGGCUUGAGGACACAGUUGGGAUGCAAUCCCCGAUCUGUUUAACCUGGAGCCCCUGUCUUUUCUCCCAGGAGCUCUGCCGCCUUUGGUAAGAGACAUGGGCUCAGGGCACCAGCUGGAUCAGAACCACAGGUGUACCGUGGAAACUGAAGCCCUGCAAGAAAACACCUGCCAGAGGCUCACCUUUGCGUCCCCCGCCCCCACUGGGCCAUGAGCUCUCUUCCUUGCACGUUUGAGCGCAGCCUGCGCCCCAGGGCUCCGCGAGGCCCUGCUCGUUCUGCAGACUUGGCUUUCUCUUCCAAGAAUCCACCGCGCCCCCACGCACCCCAGAAGGCAGAUGGUUGAAAGGUUCAGUGUAUCAGGUUAAACAAGAAGCUCUCCAGGCUGGUGUAAGAGCCUCGGAGGACAGACUGAGACGCCACAUCUGCCCGCUCCGGGGACCUGAGAGCUCAGGUGUUUCUCUGUUUCUGCUGCAUGGUGACACCACAUGGCAAUGAGAGGAAAGUAGAUAAAUGUUCUCCAUCCACAAGACGCUUUAAUCACCUUCUCCAAAAAGAAAAGAAAGCGUUUAUUAAUGUCGUCGGCAUCCCAGGAGUGACAAGUGACGUUCGUAAUGGAAGCUAAAUGUUUCGGGCUCCCGGGCGCGCCGGAGCUGACGGGCACUGGUUAUGACAAUGCGGUGCGCGGGGCCAGGAGAAGAGACUUCCGCUCGUGGAGCGGCCCAGGCGGGAGGAGCCUUCUGCUCCCCUUAAUCACAAAUCAAGCUGAGUGACAUCUGAAAUGGUAAUAAUUUCCCCAGGAAUUGCAGCUGCCCCUCUGCUUUGGUGUCGUUCCCAAUCAGAGUGCCUUUACCCACUGCAAGCAGCAGCUGAACUUAAUGCAAAAUCCAUCAGCAAUGGGGCUGCAAUUAAUUCAGGAGAGAAAUGAAUACUUCUCUGCUGAAGGAUGUAUUUGAAGAAAAGAGCACAUGGGAGACGGGUUUUUUUUUUUUUUUUAAAUGAAGAUAUCAGGUCUGAAUCCCUAUAGAAAUGCACGCAUCCAUUUCUAUGCCCGACAAUCCCGAACUGGCGGGAGGGGCACAGCGUGUCCAUCUCAAUUACCUUGCACCCCCGGUCCUGCACCUGCAGUUUGCCUUGGGGCACUGUUCUCCAUGGAAGUGGCGUAAAAAAAAAAAAAAAAAUCAACACCUGAGCCUUAUCACAUAUUCUUUGAUUGGGAGGGAGGAAGGGGAGGUAGAAAUUGAUUUUGAUAUCUAUAUAUUUAUCGUUCUAUCAUUCUCUCUCUCCCUCCCUACCUAAGGCCAACACACCAGAAACCCAAAUCUCAUUCCCAGCCUGCCACUGCAAGCAUCCCAUGUGGUAGCAGGGAAGGUGCGGAGUUCACCAUAGGUGUUUAGCAUCUUGACUGCCUCUCCCCAAAUCCCCUAGCAGGGCCCGGCAUCUUAAACUUUGGAUGAGAAAGAACCUCAGAAAAAUGAGGCCGACGGAAAGGACAGCUUUCCUCCUCAUCUUACCCUCCUCUCCUGGAACCUCUAUGAGAACUCGGUUCCGGAGCUUUGCAGCCCUACUUGUUUUGUUUUGCUGCCAUCUCCUUUAGAGAUGAAAUGUGAAGCUGUCUGUGGCCACGUAGGUUCUGAAAGAGAAAGAGACCCGACAGGGAUACCUGAGAACGACAAGGAGAUGCCACAGCAUCACAGAGCUGAGGAGGAGAGAGGACGUCAAGGGCACGGAGGCAGAGGGGGUUGGACGGAUGGAACAGGGAAAAGCGCCCAAGUGUCUGUGUCCACUGCGUGAGGCAUUCAGAAAGGCCUGCACCUGUCACUCCAGCAGCAGCAGCAAGGGGUGUGUCUUAGACAUGCAGAGUCUUCGGCCCCACCCCAGCCCUCAGGAAUGAAUCUGCAUUUGCAAUUUGUAAUCUGCAUGUUAAUACAACCCCAGCAGGGAACAAGCAGGGCAAGUUGGAGGAACACUGUGUGGGGAUUCUGUGAGAGGCUUCCAGUAGGGUCAAUGCCUGCCCCCUCUUCUCUUCUGCACCCUGAGGGCUGGUCACAGACACACAACUAGACUGAGAGUCCCUCAGCAGCCUCUGAUUUGUUCUAAAUGGCCAGAGAGGCUGCUUGACUCACCCAAGCCCAGCGUGAUGUGGAGACAUUGUUAUUUAUGAAAAAGUCGGUUCAAAAGAAAACAGAAUCUUUGUUCUUUCUCUAAACUGUUUCCUAUGACCCUCCACAGCUUUGUCCAUUGGGUUUCUUGUUUUUCAUUGGGUAUUGGUUAAGAUCAUGAAGAGACACAGCUAUCAUGGGGGACAGGAUGGUUUCUGUCCCAGAAGCCAAAGGCACACCUGCUAAAGGGGGGACUCGUUUACCCAUCAACACUCUGUCAUUUAAAAAAAAAAAAAAAAAAAAAUCAGUGUUCCAAAUACACAAAAAGACAGUGUUAUUUCAGGGGCAAGGAAAGCAUGUACAUGUUAAUGAGACCUUUAUCCUCAGUGUUAAUAGAUUAUUAAACAAGGUUAAUAUUACUGUGAUAGAGGGGGGGAAAAAGCAUCCAUCAAAAUGCUCCCAGAGGCCAUGUGUGCACAACGCCAACACAUCAGGAUGGGAAAGAGCGAGCUGCUUGGCAUCACCAGUUCUGCUUCACUGGUGCCAAGCGCAUGGAUGGAGUGCUGGGUGCGUGGGCGCUGGCUGAUCAGGAAACCAUCCCUGAGACUGACAACUUGGGGGAGGGAGCGGUUCUGAGCAAAGUGAGGUAUCACUGUGUCGCUAGAGCAGGUCCCGUUCAUCAGUGGUAUUUGGGGCAUUGGAACGUGUGAGGAUGUUUGAAUCCCUUUUACGUAGCCCACUGCUUAGGACAGGAAGGCUGUAAAGCUGAGCAGCUGACCAGGGAUGUAACAGAAGAAAAACAGAGGAAGGCUUGCACCAUCUGGUAGCCAGGCGCUGGCUGAGGGUACUCGGAAGGGAAGCACGUGCCUGUCAUGUGCAAGGAGCGUGGACCUCAGGUUAGGGGGCCCCAGUUAAUGUCCCACCAACCACUUACCAGCUCUGGGAUCCUGCACGUGUCGAAGUUUUCAUAGAUGACUUUGCAAAUCUGGAGUGAAGGGAUUUUGGUUUA
rnacentral:lncRNA from 1 species